ACACGACUACAUUAGAUACCCCCGUAGUCCAGGGUGUAAACGCUGCGGGCUUGGUGUUGGGGGUCCUUUGAGGGCGCCCAGUGCCGGAGAGAAGUUGUUAAGCCUGCUGCUUGGGGAGUACGUCCGCAAGGAUGGAAACUUAAAGGAAUUGGCGGGGGAGCACCGCAACGGGAGGUAGCGUGCGGUUCAAUUGGAUUCAACGCCGGACAACUCACCAGGAGCGACGGUUACAUGAAGGCCAGGCUGAUGACCUUGCCUGAUUUUCCG
rnacentral:rRNA from 1 species